CUCAGAUUGAACGCUGGCGGCAGGCCUAACACAUGCAAGUCGAACGGUAGCACAGAGAGCUUGCUCUCGGGUGACGAGUGGCGGACGGGUGAGUAAUGUCUGGGAAACUGCCUGAUGGAGGGGGAUAACUACUGGAAACGGUAGCUAAUACCGCAUAACGUCGCAAGACCAAAGAGGGGGACCUUCGGGCCUCUUGCCAUCAGAUGUGCCCAGAUGGGAUUAGCUAGUAGGUGGGGUAACGGCUCACCUAGGCGACGAUCCCUAGCUGGUCUGAGAGGAUGACCAGCCACACUGGAACUGAGACACGGUCCAGACUCCUACGGGAGGCAGCAGUGGGGAAUAUUGCACAAUGGGCGCAAGCCUGAUGCAGCCAUGCCGCGUGUAUGAAGAAGGCCUUCGGGUUGUAAAGUACUUUCAGCGGGGAGGAAGGUGUUGUGGUUAAUAACCACAGCAAUUGACGUUACCCGCAGAAGAAGCACCGGCUAACUCCGUGCCAGCAGCCGCGGUAAUACGGAGGGUGCAAGCGUUAAUCGGAAUUACUGGGCGUAAAGCGCACGCAGGCGGUCUGUCAAGUCGGAUGUGAAAUCCCCGGGCUCAACCUGGGAACUGCAUUCGAAACUGGCAGGCUAGAGUCUUGUAGAGGGGGGUAGAAUUCCAGGUGUAGCGGUGAAAUGCGUAGAGAUCUGGAGGAAUACCGGUGGCGAAGGCGGCCCCCUGGACAAAGACUGACGCUCAGGUGCGAAAGCGUGGGGAGCAAACAGAU
rnacentral:rRNA from 1 species